rnacentral:rRNA from 1 species
ACACAUGCAAGUCGAGGGGCAGCAUGGUCUUAGCUUGCUAAGGCCGAUGGCGACCGGCGCACGGGUGAGUAACACGUAUCCAACCUGCCGUCUACUCUUGGACAGCCUUCUGAAAGGAAGAUUAAUACAAGAUGGCAUCAUGAGUCCACAUGUUCACAUGAUUAAAGGUAUUCCGGUAGACGAUGGGGAUGCGUUCCAUUAGAUAGUAGGCGGGGUAACGGCCCACCUAGUCUUCGAUGGAUAGGGGUUCUGAGAGGAAGGUCCCCCACAUUGGAACUGAGACACGGUCCAGACUCCUACGGGAGGCAGCAGUGAGGAAUAUUGGUCAAUGGGCGAGAGCCUGAACCAGCCAAGUAGCGUGAAGGAUGACUGCCCUAUGGGUUGUAAACUUCUUUUAUAAAGGAAUAAAGUCGGGUAUGGAUACCCGUUUGCAUGUACUUUAUGAAUAAGGAUCGGCUAACUCCGUGCCAGCAGCCGCGGUAAUACGGAGGAUCCGAGCGUUAUCCGGAUUUAUUGGGUUUAAAGGGAGCGUAGAUGGAUGUUUAAGUCAGUUGUGAAAGUUUGCGGCUCAACCGUAAAAUUGCAGUUGAUACUGGAUAUCUUGAGUGCAGUUGAGGCAGGCGGAACUCGUGGUGUAGCGGUGAAAUGCUUAGAUAUCACGAAGAACUCCGAUUGCGAAGGCAGCCUGCUAAGCUGCAACUGACAUUGAGGCUCGAAAGUGUGGGUAUCAAACAGGAUUAGAUACCCUGGUAGUCCACACGGUAAACGAUGAAUACUCGCUGUUUGCGAUAUACUGCAAGCGGCCAAGCGAAAGCGUUAAGUAUUCCACCUGGGGAGUACGCCGGCAACGGUGAAACUCAAAGGAAUUGACGGGGGCCCGCACAAGCGGAGGAACAUGUGG